AACGAACGCUGGCGGCAUGCCUAACACAUGCAAGUCGAACGAGGCCUUCGGGUCUAGUGGCGCACGGGUGCGUAACGCGUGGGAACCUGCCCUUAGGUUCGGAAUAACUCCCCGAAAGGGGUGCUAAUACCGGAUAAUGUCUUCGGACCAAAGAUUUAUCGCCUUUGGAUGGGCCCGCGUUGGAUUAGCUAGUUGGUAGGGUAAAAGCCUACCAAGGCGACGAUCCAUAGCUGGUCUGAGAGGAUGAUCAGCCACACUGGCACUGAGACACGGCCCAGACUCCUACGGGAGGCAGCAGUGGGGAAUAUUGGACAAUGGGCGAAAGCCUGAUCCAGCAAUGCCGCGUGAGUGAUGAAGGCCUUAGGGUUGUAAAGCUCUUUUACCCGGGAUGAUAAUGACAGUACCGGGAGAAUAAGCUCCGGCUAACUCCGUG
rnacentral:rRNA from 1 species